rnacentral:rRNA from 1 species
CGAGCGCAUCGGCCCAACUGAUUGAAGAUGCUUGCAUCCGAUUGACGAUGGUUUACCGAUGAGCGGCGGACGGGUGAGUAACACGUAGGUAACCUGCCCAGAAGCGGGGGAUAACACCUGGAAACAGAUGCUAAUACCGCAUAGGUCAUUUGACCGCAUGGUCAAAUGAUUAAAGAUGGCUCUGCUAUCACUUCUGGAUGGACCUGCGGCGUAUUAGCUAGUUGGUAAGGUAACGGCUUACCAAGGCAAUGAUACGUAGCCGAGUUGAGAGACUGAUCGGCCACAUUGGGACUGAGACACGGCCCAGACUCCUACGGGAGGCAGCAGUAGGGAAUCUUCCACAAUGGACGCAAGUCUGAUGGAGCAACGCCGCGUGAGCGAAGAAGGUCUUCGGAUCGUAAAACUCUGUUGUUAGAGAAGAACACGGGUGAGAGUAACUGUUCACCUGUUGACGGUAUCUAACCAGCAAGUCACGGCUAACUACGUGCC